UGGGAAUUUUGGACAAUGGGCGCAAGCCUGAUCCAGCAAUGCCGCGUGCAGGAUGAAGGCCUUCGGGUUGUAAACUGCUUUUGUACGGAGCGAAAAGGUCUGCCCUAAUACGGUGGGCUCAUGACGGUACCGUAAGAAUAAGCACCGGCUAACUACGUGCCAGCAGCCGCGGUAAUACGUAGGGUGCGAGCGUUAAUCGGAAUUACUGGGCGUAAAGCGUGCGCAGGCGGUGAUGUAAGACAGAUGUGUAAUCCCCGGGCUCAACCUGGGAACUGCGUUUGUGACUGCAUCACUCGAGUACGGCAGAGGGAGGUGGAAUUCCGCGUGUAGCAGUGAAAUGCGUAGAUAUGCGGAGGAACACCGAUGGCGAAGGCAAUCCCCUGGGCCUGCACUGACGCUCAUGCACGAAAGCGUGGGGAGCAAACA
rnacentral:rRNA from 1 species